rnacentral:rRNA from 1 species
GCGAACGCUGGCGGCAGGCCUCACCCAUGCAAGUCGAACGAACUCUUCGGAGUUAGUGGCGGACGGGUGAGUAACACGUGGGAACGUGCCUUUUGGUUCGGAAUAACUCAGGGAAACUUGUGCUAAUACCGAAUGUGCCCUUCGGGGGAAAGAUUUAUCGCCAUUAGAGCGGCCCGCGUCUGAUUAGCUAGUUGGUGAGGUAACGGCUCACCAAGGCGACGAUCAGUAGCUGGUCUGAGAGGAUGACCAGCCACACUGGGACUGAGACACGGCCCAGACUCCUACGGGAGGCAGCAGUGGGGAAUCUUGCGCAAUGGGCGAAAGCCUGACGCAGCCAUGCCGCGUGAAUGAUGAAGGUCUUAGGAUUGUAAAAUUCUUUCACCGGGGACGAUAAUGACGGUACCCGGAGAAGAAGCCCCGGCUAACUUCGUG